AGAUUGAACGCUGGCGGAAUGCUUUACACAUGCAAGUCGAACGGCAGCACGGGGGCAACCCUGGUGGCGAGUGGCGAACGGGUGAGUAAUACAUCGGAACGUGUCCUGUAAUGGGGGAUAACCUGGCGAAAGCCAGGCUAAUACCGCAUACGUCCUACGGGAGAAAGCGGGGGAUCGCAAGACCUCGCGUUAUAGGAGCGGCCGAUGUCGGAUUAGCUAGUUGGUGGGGUAAAGCCUACCGAAGGCGACGAUCCGUAGCUGGUCUGAGAGGACGACCAGCCACACUGGAACUGAGACACGGUCCAGACUCCUACGGGAGGCAGCAGUGGGGAAUUUGGACAAGUGGGCGCAAGCCUGAUCCAGCCAUUCCGCGUGAGUGAAGAAGGCCUUGGGUUAGUAAGCUCGUUUCGGCCGGAAGAA
rnacentral:rRNA from 1 species